rfam:Gossypium raimondii Chr11_contig_48, whole genome shotgun sequence.
GACUCCAUGACCCAAUGGAUAAGGCGCUGGUCUACGGAACCAGAGAUUCUGGGUUCGAUCCCCAGUGGAGUCG